rnacentral:rRNA from 1 species
UGGGGAAUAUUGGACAAUGGGCGCAAGCCUGAUCCAGCCAUGCCGCGUGAGUGAUGAAGGCCCUAGGGUUGUAAAGUUCUUUCACCGGAGAAGAUAAUGACGGUAACCGGAGAAGAAGCCCCGGCUAACUUCGUGCCAGCAGCCGCGGUAAUACGAAGGGGGCUAGCGUUGUUCGGAUUUACUGGGCGUAAAGCGCACGUAGGCGGACUAUUAAGUCAGGGGUGAAAUCCCGGGGCUCAACCCCGGAACUGCCUUUGAUACUGGUAGUCUUGAGUUCGAGAGAGGUGAGUGGAAGUCCGGGUGUAGAGGUGAAAUUCGUAGAUAUUCGGAGGAACACCAGUGGCGAAGGCGGCUCACUGGCUCGAUACUGACGCUGAGGUGCGAAAGCGUGGAGAGCAAACAGG